ACUGACGUUGAGCCCCAGUCAUUCUCAGUGGUAGUGACUAGAGGAAGAUCAUUUAAAAAAAAAAAAAAACAAGAUCCUGAAUAUUACUAAAGAGGACUUUCUCCGAGUCGUUUCGCCACUCGCUUUAAAUCUGGAGCAGCAGAAUCUGGGGCGGAGGACCCCUACCUGACAUGGGGGGGGGGGUGGGGGGGUCUGAGGUGGCGGCAGACAGAGAGAGACGGAGGAAGAAGAAUCCAGGAUUUACAGUCAAUACAGAGGUCACUAGUUUAAUGGCUGGAAGGUAGAGGUCAAAGAGGGACAUAAUGACCUCCAUUCCGUCGAUGGACAGGCACAUACAGCAGACCAACGACCGUCUGUUAUGUAUCAAACAGCACUUACAGAACCCUGCCAACUUCCAGACGGCAGCGACAGAGCUGCUGGACUGGUGCGGUGACCCCCGGGCCUUCCAACGACCCUUUGAGCAAAGCCUGAUGGGAUGUCUAACGGUGGUGAGCCGGGUGGCAGCGCAGCAAGGUUAUGACCUGGACCUGGGGUACAGGGUCCUAGCAGUGUGUGCUGCCAACAGAGACAAGUUCUCUCCCAAAUCAGCAGGUAGGACAAGGUCUUCCUUCUUGUUGUUGAGAAGUGACAGCAGAUCGACUGGGGCGUAUUCAUUAGAAACAAAACGGAACGAUUUGGCUUUCUGUUGCGUAACAUUUUGCUUUGGGUGUGCUCUAAUGAAUGCGAGCUACUAAUUAACAGAAACUAGUAGCAUUUAGCGUUAGCAUUAGCAGGCAACAUUUAAAAAAAAAAAAAAAAA